UACGUAGGGCGCAAGCGUUGUCCGGAUUCACUGGGGGUAAAGGGUGCGUAGGCGGGAGAGUAAGUCCGCGGUGAAAUCUCACAGCUCAACUGUGAAACUGCCGUUGAUACUGCUUUUCUUGAGUUCGGGAGAGGUUGAUGGAAUUCCAGGUGUAGCGGUGAAAUGCGUAGAUAUCUGGAAGAACACCAGUGGCGAAGGCGGUCAACUGGCCCGUAACUGACGCUGAGGCACGAAAGCGUGGGUAGCGAACAGG
rnacentral:rRNA from 1 species